GGGGAGGCAGCAGUGGGGAAUUUUGGACAAUGGGCGAAAGCCUGAUCCAGCAAUGCCGCGUGCAGGAUGAAGGCCCUCGGGUUGUAAACCGCUUUUGUACGGAACGAAAAGCCUGGGGCCAAUACCCCCGGGUCAUGACGGUACCGUAAGAAUAAGCACCGGCUAACUACGUGCCAGCAGCCGCGG
rnacentral:rRNA from 1 species